rnacentral:rRNA from 12 species
GGACACAGGUGGGUAAGUAGAGAAUACGACGCGGCGCGAGAGAGCUCUCUCGAAGGAGCUCGGCAGACUCUCUGUCUCCGGCUGCUAGGAGGACGUGCCGCUCGUAGGU